rnacentral:rRNA from 1 species
GAUGAACGCUGGCGGCGUGCCUAAUACAUGCAAGUCGAGCGAACAGACGAGGGGCUUGCUCCUCUGACGUUAGCGGCGGACGGGUGAGUAACACGUGGAUAACCUACCUAUAAGACUGGGAUAACUUCGGGAAACCGGAGCUAAUACCGGAUAAUAUAUUGAACCGCAUGGUUCAAUAGUGAAAGACGGUUUUGCUGUCACUUAUAGAUGGAUCCGCGCCGCAUUAGCUAGUUGGUAAGGUAACGGCUUACCAAGGCAACGAUGCGUAGCCGACCUGAGAGAGUGAUCGGCCACACUGGAACUGAGACACGGUCAAUACUCCUACGGUAGGAAGCAGUAGGGAAUCUUCCGCAAUGGGCGAAAGCCUGACGCAGCAGCGCCGCGUGAGUGAUGAAGUUUUUCGGAUCGUAAAACUCUGUUAUUAGGGAAGAACAAAUGUGUAAGUAACUAUGCACGUCUUGACGGUACCUAAUCAGAAAGCCACGGCUAACUACGUG